UUGGAGGGCAAGUCUGGUGCCAGCAGCCGCGGUAAUUCCAGCUCCAAUAGCGUAUAUUAAAGUUGUUGCAGUUAAAAAGCUCGUAGUUGAAUUUCGGGGUUAGUAGGUUGGUUAUGCCUCUGGUAUGUACUGGUCUCACUGAUUCCUCCUUCCUGAUGAGCCGUAAUGCCAUUAAUUUGGUGUUGCGGGGAAUUUGGACUGUUACUUUGAAAAAAUUAGAGUGUUUAAAGCAAGCUAACGCUUGAAUACAUUAGCAUGGAAUAAUGAAAUAGGACGUUCGAUCCUAUUUUGUUGGUUUCUAGGAUUGACGUAAUGAUUAAUAGGGAUAGUUGGGGGCAUUAGUAUUCAAUUGUCAGAGGUGAAAUUCUUGGAUUUAUUGAAGACUAACUACUGCGAAAGCAUUUGCCAAGGAUGUUUUCAUUAAUCAAGAACGAAAGUUAGGGGAUCGAAGACGAUCAGAUACCGUCGUAGUCUUAACCAUAAACUAUGCCGACUAGGGAUCGGAUGAUGUUAAUUUUUUAAUGACUCAUUCGGCGCCUUACGGGAAAC
rnacentral:rRNA from 2 species